CCUACGGGGGGCAGCAGUGGGGAAUAUUGGACAAUGGGGGCAACCCUGAUCCAGCCAUGCCGCGUGUGUGAAGAAGGCCCUCGGGUUGUAAAGCACUUUCAGUGAGGAAGAACGCCUGGUGGUUAAUACCUAUCAGGAAAGACAUCACUCACAGAAGAAGCACCGGCUAACUCCGUGCCAGCAGCCGCGGUAAUACGGAGGGUGCGUGCGUUAAUCGGAAUUACUGGGCGUAAAGCGCGCGUAGGUGGCUUGAUAAGCCGGUUGUGAAAGCCCCGGGCUCAACCUGGGAACGGCAUCCGGAACUGUCAAGCUAGAGUGCAGGAGAGGAAGGUAGAAUUCCCGGUGUAGCGGUGAAAUGCGUAGAGAUCGGGAGGAAUACCAGUGGCGAAGGCGGCCUUCUGGACUGACACUGACACUGAGGUGCGAAAGCGUGGGUAGCAAACAGGAUUAGAUACCCUGGUAGUC
rnacentral:rRNA from 1 species